rnacentral:sRNA from 1 species
UAAUUGAUGGUAAUGUGUGUCACCAGUAU